AUUGAACGCUGGCGGCAGGCCUAACACAUGCAAGUCGAGCGGAUGAAGGGAGCUUGCUCCUGGAUUCAGCGGCGGACGGGUGAGUAAUGCCUAGGAAUCUGCCUGGUAGUGGGGGAUAACGUCCUGAAACGGGCGCUAAUACCGCAUACGUCCUGAGGGAGAAAGUGGGGGAUCUUCGGACCUCACGCUAUCAGAUGAGCCUAGGUCGGAUUAGCUAGUUGGUGGGGUAAAGGCCUACCAAGGCGACGAUCCGUAGGUGGUCUGAGAGGAUGAUCAGUCACACUGGAACUGAGACACGGUCCAGACUCCUACGGGAGGCAGCAGUGGGGAAUAUUGGACAAUGGGCGAAAGCCUGAUCCAGCCAUGCCGCGUGUGUGAAGAAGGUCUUCGGAUUGUAAAGCACUUUAAGUUGGGAGGAAGGGCAGUAAGUUAAUACCUUGCUGUUUUGACGUUACCAACAGAAUAAGCACCGGCUAACUUCGUG
rnacentral:rRNA from 1 species